UACGUAGGGUGCGAGCGUUGUCCGGAAUUACUGGGCGUAAAGAGCUCGUAGGUGGUUUGUCGCGUUGUUCGUGAAAACUCACAACUCAAUUGUGGGCGUGCGGGCGAUACGGGCAGACUGGAGUACUGCAGGGGAGACUGGAAUUCCUCGUGUAGCGGUGGAAUGCGCAGAUAUCAGGAGGAACACCGGUGGCGAAGGCGGGUCUCUGGGCAGUAACUGACGCUGAGGAGCGAAAGCGUGGGGAGCGAACAGG
rnacentral:rRNA from 1 species